AGUGAACGCUGGCGGUAGGUCUAACACAUGCAAGUCGAACGGCAGCACAGUAAGAGCUUGCUCUUACGGGUGGCGAGUGGCGGACGGGUGAGGAAUACAUCGGAAUCUACUUUUUCGUGGGGGAUAACGUAGGGAAACUUACGCUAAUACCGCAUACGACCUACGGGUGAAAGCAGGGGAUCUUCGGACCUUGCGCGAUUGAAUGAGCCGAUGUCGGAUUAGCUAGUUGGCGGGGUAAAGGCCUACCAAGGCGACGAUCCGUAGCUGGUCUGAGAGGAUGAUCAGCCACACUGGAACUGAGACACGGUCCAGACUCCUACGGGAGGCAGCAGUGGGGAAUAUUGGACAAUGGGCGCAAGCCUGAUCCAGCCAUACCGCGUGGGUGAAGAAGGCCUUCGGGUUGUAAAGCCCUUUUGUUGGGAAAGAAAAGCAGCAGGUUAAUACCCCGCUGUUCUGACGGUACCCAAAGAAUAAGCACCGGCUAACUUCGUG
rnacentral:rRNA from 1 species